GCAGAGACACCUGUUUCUCAGCUGUUGACUUCACUGGGGCGCCAUGCUGGGGUCCUCGCAUGUGGAUUAUGUGGUCUGUUUGGGAACAAGGAGAGAAAACUUUGUUCAUGGAAACAGACCAGUGUAAAACUGGAGUCAUGUCUAUGGCCUGUUCUGUGACAGCAACUAUCAUGGACUCAGCACUCAAGGUGCCCACCCUGCAGAUGGGCUACUGAGAUCAACUCAGCCUUAAAGGAAAGCCUCUAAUCUGUUAAAAAGACGCUAUUGAAUCUGGAUUGCACCUGAUCCUACUCCUGUUGAGGAAACUCCCCCAACUUCACUGAAAGAAUGAUAAAAAGGAACUGGUACAGAACACUUCCCGACCAGGAUGUGAUGGUCAGACACGAGCCAAACACGAUGGCAGAGGUUUUGGAUCAAGGCAGUGCCCUGUAAUACAUCUGGGACAUAGCAACUAGGAAAAGGAAAAGAUAUCCACAGUUAAAACACUUCAUUAAUGGUAUAGCUAGAGGAGGAUGAAUGAGAUUAAUGCAGCCGUCCUGUGCCCAGAGGGAAACUCUAUGGGACUCUUUCUUUGAGGUAAAGACACUGUUAGAAGACCUCACAAACGCUUUAUUGGAGAGCGAGCCCGCACAGGCAUAAACCGCAGUGUCAAAUGAGAGCCGGGUGUUCUCUUUGAGGAGAGGUGGCUCAGAUGCAAAUGACCUGUCCUCCAGCCAAUGGAUCUUUGCUGUGCGGAGGCCCAGCUAGGGCCAUGAAUCAGGAAGCGUUCCCACCACACUGCCCAGUUUGAGGAGCCAUUUCUCAGAUUCAAAAUGCGGAAGCCUGGGGUGAUUCACAUGACAUCAGUCCACUCACCCUCCUCUGACGACUGGGAAGUGUCAACCUGUGGCGAAUGCGUGCUCUGGGAAGGGAGUUCUUCCUCUCUGAGAUAAGUAAAUCCCUGACACCGCUCCUGGAGCUAUGGACACUUUCCUACAUGGAAGGUUUCCCACAAUGGCAAUAAAUGACUAUCGAUUUUGAGGUUGCUAUUUUUGAAAGAGCAGCGCUGGAGACGUAAGCAUAAGCUCCUUGACUACAGUAAAUAGGUUGGCAAGUAAAUGUGCAGCACUGGGCAAAAUUCUCCUCUGAGAGCCACACAAGUGAUCUCAUCACGUCAACUGUAAUAUUCUGCUUUCCAUACAGGCAGGGAGCCUCCCAUUAACUUCAGCUGAAUAUUGCACAAGUAAGGAAAGCAAAAUACCAGAGCCAAGAUGUGCUGUAGGGAGAGGUAAAUGUUGCCAAAAGUUGAGAAAUCUGUCCCUGUGCAGCAGUGAAUGAAAUAUAUGUUUGAGUGGGAGAGCUAACAUGGACAAUUACAGCCAAUCAAAUCAGGAAACACAAACAAGCAUUUAAAGGGAAGAUUUUCUUUUAAAUAUAUAAGCUGGAGUGAAAUGUGCUGCUCUCUGACUGGCAACUUGGAUUUUUUUAAAAAAACCCAUAGACUGAAUUACAAGCUUAAUUUGUGAAGCAGCACUUGAAGCAGCACUUGAAGUGGAACCACUUGUGCUCAGAGAAGACUCCAUUUCAUUACAACAAAAAAACAUUCCCUUCUACAAUUGGUUUAUGGAUCGAAUACAGUAUCUCUAGAGAGGGAAAUAGAUUAGCUGAUCUAUAUCUGUGAAUGACUGUUUGUGCUUAUGCAUUCACACACAUACUCCCCCCACCCACCACGCUAUGUGCAUUUGACAUUGUAAUGUUCAUUAUUAAUUUGUUUAUUGCAUUCAGCUGUGACCUGGAAGCUUUACAGAUAAGGUACCUUCCCCCAAAGAACUUUCAGUCUAACUGGCCCCGGCACAAAUGAGGGCUGAAGAAUGGGAUAUACUAAGCAGCAGUAUGACUGAAUGAAUGAGGACAUUUUGCAUGCUGGCAAGAUUUUUUUUUUUAUUCACAGAUAUUUAAUCAUUUGACUUAACACUUCUCUGCGGGAUAAAUUAUGUACCCUAGGAAAAAAGUGCAUUUGAAUGUUUGAUCUUGAGGACAAAGGAACUGAAGCAUGAAUUGGGAAGGAGGAAGUGGGGUAAUCAUGGACAAUUUGGAGGCAUAAGUGAAAGGAAAAACCUGAGUGGGUGAAGGAGGGAAUCAUAGAAUCAUAGAAUACUAGGACUGGAAGGGACCUCAAGAGG